rnacentral:lncRNA from 1 species
UAUAUAAACUCUACAUAUUGAGGAGUUUGCAGAUUUGAUAAGGGCAGAGAGGAGAUAAAUAGGGAAGAAGAUGGUGGAUAGGAUUAAAUUCAUGCAGGUCGUUUUGACUCUUUGGAACAGAGGGAGAUAGAGAGAGAGAAGGUAUCUCAUAAUGUAAAUUAACACUUGCAUCAUAGUCUCUUCCUUCUUCCCAUCUUUUGGUUUGGGAGAGAGUAGAAACAGUUUAUAAUGUUAUGUACAGAAGUCUCUACUCCACCCACAUUUUGUUUGUUCCCUCUUCCUUGUGGCAUAUAAUUAGGGCCUUUUCCUCUAACUUCUCUUCUAGGUUUAGGUUAAUUUGAUGAUGUAUCAUUUGUUCUGUUUCUUUAAUCUCUUAUGGUUAAAAAAAAAAAGCAUUAUUUUGUCUACACAUAAACAUUAGAUUAAAUGGUUCAUGAUUAGAAUAGUUAAACACUAUGUUACAAAAGCUCAUCUUCUGUUUUAUUGGCUAAAUCAAUCUCUCUAAAGUUAGAAAGAAGAAUCCAAGCAGUGUUGAGAAACUGAAGAAGCUGAGCUUGAGAACUCUCAAUCAAAUCAAUCCUUUUAAUCUCCAUCUCCUUACAAAGCUUCACUGUCUCUUUUGCAAGCUCCAUCUUCUUCUUCUCCAUUACCAUAAC